GCUGAGAGCAUAGUAGCUUGGGUGAGAGGAGGGUGGCCUAGGCCCGUUCCAGAGGGAUAGAUGGAGAGACUUGCUGCAUUCAGCAGCCAGGCCUGAAGGUCCCCACCUCUGGUUUAAACAGAUGGCUAUCUGACCACAGAUCACCAAUGUCUUAACACCUUUGACCCAGAUGCUCUAUUGAUUUCAAGAGGAAGGACCGAUAUUUCAGAUAAGAGUGUCUGUUUGCUUUGUAAUAGGACAAGUGCCCGGAGUUCAUUUUCCGUAGCUUGGCAGGCAAGUUAUCAUCUAAUCUCACUCCCAAGGUGUGUAAGGCUGGCCUUUGCUGGAAUUCCAGGUUUCCAGUGGACCGAGCCAGUAGCUCCGAUCUGGUUUUGAAGGCUGUCAACAUCAUCUUUUCGCCCACCCUGUCCUCUGUGCUGCAGACUGAGCUGAUCUGCUGGAUUUUGAGGAGGUCUCCAGUGCUGCAUGCCUUCUCAACAUUGCUGGAACAAAGACUUAGGACCCCUCGCUGGAGAUCCACCCUCCCAGAACAAAUUUUCUGGAGUUUGCUGGGAAGCCUGCUCUUCUUCUCUUCAAAAAUAUCCAGGCAAUCAAGGGAGCAGAUCUUUUCCCUUCUGCUUCUGUUGCUCCCGGUAGGGGUGUUCAAAGGUGAUGGGAGAGCGAGGUUCUCUUCUUGUUCUUUCACACUGUAGGGGGGUGUUGGGACUUCAAAAGUUCCAUGGAACUGAGAAUAAUCCACACGGAAAAAGCCAUCUUCCAGCGACAUCACAGGGAGGAACCUGUGGCCCCAGAGAACUUCGUCUUCUGUGUAGGAGGUCCUGGCUUGGCAGGUCAUUCCUAAGAGAACAAGAGAAUGUAUGGUAGGGUCAGUAUGGCUGGAUUUUCAAAAUACUGGAUGGUGCCAUGGAAAAACACAGUUCCACUCACCCCCCGCCCUGUGCUGGACAGUUCCUCUUAUUCAUCCCACCUGGGGCAUCCAGAGGGUUUCCUUGAGCCCCCUCUCCAAUUCUGGCUUGAGGAUUUUUUGGGGGGGAGAAUCUUUGGUAUGGUACCCUCAGUGCCCCCACACCACCCUGAAACCAGGAAGAGCGGGGAGAAGCAAACUGCACCUUCUCUUAGGCUGUAUCUGAUCUUCUUGGAUAUUUUGUGCAAAGUGGAAAUGGAAGCAUUGUCAGGGCUAUGGACCCUCUGCUGGUUUGGGGGCCCUGGCAGAUGCCCAACCUUGUCACCUACAACAUUGACCUUUGAACUCCUGUUCCUAGAUUCCUGAUCAGUUGCUCCUGUUUACAUCCACUGAACCUUCCACAGCCUUAGACCCGCUGAGCUCCUUGCUUGCCUUCUCCAGCUGCCAUUGAGAUCUGGGGCCUACCUUCCCCUUAGUUCCCUUGGCAGCUAAACUCCUGUGCAAAUGUCACUCUCGCAAGGGACAUUUGGACAGCAGCAUCCCGUCUUCCUCUUAAAAAACAACCAAGGUAGCUGUUUCCUGCCUCUGUGCAAAGACAUUACGCAAAUCCACGAACUACCUGUUCCAACAUUUGUCUUUCUUGCUAUUAGAGAAGACACCACUAACAUGAGCUGCUAGUGCCAAGAGAAGCCACACUCAGAAGGGCAUCCUGGAUGCUAUAAUUUCCUAUGGCAAUAAAUAAUAAGUGGUUGAUGAUCUGUAGUGUUAAAACUGCUUGA